CCCCAAGCUGCAGACACUCAAGGAGGGAUUUAGCUGCGUGGUUUGUAUGAACAUCAUUGAGGAUCCAGUGUUCUCACUGUGCUGCAGAAGCAUUAUUGGCUGCAAGACAUGUGUGGAACAGUGGCAAGAGACAUCACAGCACUGUGCAAAAUGCAGGGAGAGUAACAACGGAGUUCUACAAAUUACUGGUCUAACAGCUGCAUUUUCUGUAUUGAAAUCUUUUUUUGCAGAGGAGUAAUGUAGUGUGUACACACAAA